UACGUAGGGGGCAAGCGUUGUCCGGAUUUAUUGGGCGUAAAGAGCGUGUAGGCGGCCAGGUAGGUCUGCUGUGAAAACUCGAGGCUUAACCUCGAGCUGUCGGCGGAAACCAUCUGGCUAGAGUCCGGAAGAGGAGAAUGGAAUUCCCGGUGUAGCGGUGAAAUGCGCAGAUAUCGGGAGGAACAUCUGUGGCGAAGGCGACUGCCUGGACCAGCACUGACACUGAGGCACGAAAGCGUGGGGAGCAAACAGG
rnacentral:rRNA from 1 species